UGGGCUUCGAGCUGGGUGCUGGGGAGACAAGGAGGAAUAGGAGGGUACAGUCUGUCCCAGACAACUGUGGGAAAGCCUCAGGGGUUCUGCUGGUUAAACCCCCAGACCCCCUUUCUAUUCCCCAGCAACCUGAGCACCUGUUUUCCUCACAUGGGCCCAAGCCCUUAAGCCUGUCUCCCUUCCUUUACGAAGCAUCCACAGCCCUCAGUCUUCCCCUGGCCUUCUCUUCUGCUACCUUCCUCACCCUCCCUGCUCCUGGGACAGCCUGGACUCCCUCUGCAGUGUCCGUCCAUAGUGCGGACAUUAGGCUCACUGCCCCUUGCCCUUGGCAGGCUUCCAGCGAAGCCACGAAGUGAGGCCCCGUGUAACUGAAGGAUGGACGCAUUCCCCAGAUGCCCCAGCCUUCCUUAGCACACACUUCUUCCCUCAUGGGCAGAAGAUGGCUGCCCCAUCUCCAACAUCAAGUCCUAACUCCAAACAGGAAGAAUAAGGUCAAAGGACCAGUUGAAUCUUCAUC
ensembl:lncRNA